GACGAACGCUGGCGGCGUGCCUAAUACAUGCAAGUCGAGCGGAAUGAGGAGAGCUUGCUCUCCGAGUUUAGCGGCGGACAGGUGAGUAACACGUGGGCAACCUGCCUGUAAGACUGGGAUAACUCCGGGAAACCGGAGCUAAUACCGGAUACAACUUUUCCUUGCAUGAGGGGAAGAGGAAAGACUGAGAGUCGCUUACAGAUGGGCCCGCGGCGCAUUAGCUAGUUGGUGGGGUAACGGCCUACCAAGGCGACGAUGCGUAGCCGACCUGAGAGGGUGAUCGGCCACACUGGGACUGAGAUACGGCCCAGACCCCUACGGGAGGCAGCAGUGAGGAAUAUUGCGCAAUGGGCGAAAGCCUGACGCAGCGACGCCGCGUGGAGGACGACGGUCUUCGGAUUGUAAACUCCUGUUAAGCGGAAAGAAAACCCAAUCUCUAAUAUAGAUUGGAUAUGACGGUACCGCUAGAGAAAGCACCGGCUAACUUCGUGCCAGCCGCCGCGGUAAGAC
rnacentral:rRNA from 1 species